rfam:Chloroflexi bacterium RBG_13_52_12 RBG_13_scaffold_61407, whole genome shotgun sequence.
GCCCACCUAGCUCAGUCGGUAGAGCACAUUCUUGGUAAGAAUGGGGUCAUCGGUUCGAAUCCGAUGGUGGGCU